UACGGGGGGCGAGCGUUGUUCGGAAUUACUGGGCGUAAAGGGCUCGUAGGCGGCCAACUAAGUCGGAUGUGAAAUCCCCAGGCUUAACCUGGGAACUGCAUCCGAUACUGGAUGGCUUGAAUCCGGGAGAGGGAUGCAGAAUUCCAGGUGUAGCGGUGAAAUGACGUAGAUAUCUGGAGGAAUACCGGUGGCGAAGGCGGCAUCCUGGACCCGGCAUUGACGCUGACGUGGAGC
rnacentral:rRNA from 1 species